UCCCUGGUGGCCUAGUGGGUUAAGGAUCCAGCAUUAUCACUGCUGUGGUGCAGGUUAGAUCCCUGGCCCAGGAA
rnacentral:tRNA from 1 species